rnacentral:lncRNA from 1 species
CCCGGAGAUGCAGAGAUGGGUCCGGGAAUGUGGAGCAGAGACCAGUUCCCAAGCCGUAGCCCUGGCUGAAAUUUUCCUCUUGACCCAGGCCGAAGACAAGAAACAAGAAGAACAGCAGUAUACAGAAUCGGGCCCCAACUUUCCCGAGCCCUUCAAGACUUCCUCAGAUGCCCGACAGAGCGCUCUGCGAAGGUGGAUGAAACACGAAGGGGACGCAACGUCCAUCCUACAAGGGCACAGUGAUGACAGAGGAUGUGGCUGUUCAGGUCACCGAGAAAGAAGCGAUCCUGCCAGAUCCUGGCCAGAAAGUUUUCCGCAAGCAAACCGUGGAGCAAGACUGUGGACUAAUGGCUGCCUUUGAAGCCGAUAAGUGGGCAGCCGAGAGAAAAGGAGACCCAUCACUGGGGCUGCCAGAAGGAGAUGGCAUUAAGAAGAGGGAGAAGCAGAGGAGAAAAUCGGUACCGAAUCGAAAAGGAUGAUGGAACUGAAUGAGUGCUCCGCUUCUCAGAGCAGCAAUUUCCAUCAAAAUGCAGUCCAAGAAAAAUAGAGAAGAUGAAUAGUAAGUG